rnacentral:tRNA from 1 species
GAAGGUAUAGCUCAAAUGGUAGAGCACAUGCUUAGCAUGCACGAGGUCCUGAGUUCAAUCCCUAGUACCUCUU